UUAUAUAAGGCGAGAUAAUUAAAUUCAGUUAUGCGAAUAUUAACGGGUAAAUUUAUUAUAUCCAGGCUCGAAAAAGAGAUUUUAGCAAAUAAGGAUAUGGUCGGAAUAUAUUGGUGAAAUUAAUAUGUUUAAUUGGUGUAUUUCGUAUAUAUAGCAGGCGGUAAUAAAUGAUGGACAGAAGAUUUUUGGGUAUAAUUAUAUUAUAUUUUAUAAACCACCCCUGAGGGGUAGCUGUCUCAUUUAUUUUUUAUAUAUAACUUUCUUAUCGUGCCCGACCUUUAAUUAGAGCAGGGAAUACCCAGUGCCCAACACACCUAUGUUUUCGCCUGAAGAUUUUAACGUUUCUUUUAUUUUAACAGUUCAAAUAAUUACCUCUUUUAAAAUGCAAAUCGAAUUAUCCCUUUAUUUGGGUUCGAAAACUUUGACCCGCAUGGUCGUAAUAGGAUUCACUGCCCUGCCGACAGUUUGUAUUGGUUCGGGGUUAGGGUUAAUUAUUUAUAUAUUUUAUCGCCAGUCAGAUUGGGUUACCAAUAUAAUAAUAGAACAACUUUGCAUUUUCACUUUGAAAACCCUGUACGAAUUUCAAAUCUGCACAAUGGGAAUUUUAUAAUAGUGACGGAAAACUUAAUAACAUUUGACGUGCUCCUAUAAUACCCACGCUGCCAAUUUAGGUUAACAAACCAAUAAUUUUUCGGAACGAGGGUUAAUACGACCUGAAUUACCCGUCGUGCCAAACAAAUAAUUUGCGGUGCCAAAAUGGGGUCUUGGUUGCCUAUUUAAUCCGUUUAUUAUUCCCCAGUCGAAACCACUAUUCCAUUUAAUUUUGCAAGGCCAGCCAACCGGGUUACGCGUUUGCUCCCCGCCUCGCUAAUGGAAGGUUCCUGCAUUGGGAAUGUUUUAACGGUGGUUAUUGCCUGCCAAAAAACCUUGCAUUUUCGCAGAAUUGCCACCAUGAUUUGAUAAUCCGUUAGGGCGUCCAUUAUAAUGCAGGGGGCCCUCCAUUACCGUGGCAUAUUAUCUUUGGGGCGGUAAAAUGCGGGGUUCGGUGUCAUAUAAUAAUGCGUGGCGAAAUUAAUUAAUUAAAUUAGAAGUUAAUUAUCGAACGAUAAGAGAUUAUAUAGUCGACCAGGCCACUUUUAAAAAGCUAUAAACAUAUUUUCCAAAAGGUGGUAGUGGUGGUAGUGGCGUUGGCGGGUAUGGUAGCCUAUACAUUUGUAAAUUAAUAACUAUAUGGCCGAAAAAAAGUGCAAUAGAUUAAAUUGUGGGCGAUUAAUAAUGCGGUUUUUUCAACCACCCAAAACUCCGUUUUGCCCCACGCCGAAUGGGACCGCCGGUAUUAGUGAAACGGAGGAUAAUUAAUUUUAUUACCACGUAUUAUAUCACACAAGGUUUAACCCCAAAUUUAGGACUUUCGAGUCCGGACGGUCCGUCCGACUUGUUAAACGCGGUGUUACACCACAUGCAAGCGGUUAUUUAAUUAUCCUAUACGACGAUAAAAUAUGCUGCGUUUAUAGUUAACUUAUUAAUUAAUAAGGAAUAUCUAUAAAAUAAAUGCAGUUUGUAACGAGCAGCGGAACCCUGCGAAAUUAACAAAUAACGCCGCUUUCGAGCUAUUAAACCGGUGUGAUAAACUGCUAAAAUGCAGACCAGGAUUGUUUAUAUGCCCUAACACGCAUUUUUAUAUGUUUUUCCCCACCGGAUGCCAAUAAAAGACCUCCUGGAUGGUGGAGAAAAUGUGAGACGAUCCGCCCGUAAGCCCCCAUUAUCGCAAUCAGACGCCGAACCCCGCAGUUUGUCGCCCCAGGCCCUCAAAUCGGAUUGCGCUUUUGCUCCAAACCGCGGAUAUAAAAGGCCUCCUGCAUAGCUGAAAAAAUUCAGGCCUGUUUAGUUGAACGAAUAAUUAAUAUUAUGGUAAUUGUGUGCGGUAUUAGGCAACCUUAUAUAAAUUUUACUGAUAUUAUUUGUGGACUAUUUAAUAGGGCUGUGUCCCACGGGUUAACCUGGUUUAUUACCAAUAUAUUUGCGGGUAAAUUGUUAAAAGGAGUAAUUAUUAAUGGAAAAUGCAAAUAAAUAAUAAUAUAUUCACAGGUUAAUUGGAGCGCCAAUUAUAUAAAGGGAUGGAAUAGGUAUCGCGAAAAACUUCCUCAAUUUAGACAUUCCGCUCCCUAUCGCUACCGUUAUUACUGACUAUUUUCCAACCACCUGAGGCGAUGUGACGAACCUUAAUAAUUUUUUUUGGCCCAAGAAAUAAUUAGACGGUAUAAAUUAUAAAGUUAAACAGGAGCAAAUAUAAAAUAUAAUUUAGAAGAUAUCUUUUAUAUUUCAAUUGAAUUUUCUUUGCAAUAUCCCAAAAAAUAUAUCGAUCGUAUUACUGGUAAAUAUUGGAAUACCUUCCCACCAUUGGAAAUAAAGUAAUGUGAAAUAAUAUUUUUAUACAAAGCCAUUUAGAGACCUGAAAGGUUUUUAAUAACCCACAAACCAGCGCCAAAAUUAUUAGAACAUCCGUAAUAGUUCCAGCACCGCCUUACCUAACCUUUAAUUAUUUUUUGCAUUUUUAAACUAUUCGGUAAUUAUUCCAAUAUUUAAGGAA
rnacentral:sRNA from 1 species